ACAGCAGCAGCCGCGGGAAAACGUAGGGUGCAAGCGUUAAUCGGAAUUACUGGGCGUAAAGCGUGCGCAGGCGGUUUGUUAAGACAGAUGUGAAAUCCCCGGGCUCAACCUGGGAACUGCAUUUGUGACUGGCAAGCUAGAGUGUGGCAGAGGGGGGUGGAAUUCCGCGUGAAGCAGUGAAAUGCGUAGAUAUGCGGAGGAACACCGAUGGCGAAGGCAGCCCCCUGGGCCAACACUGACGCUCAUGCACGAAAGCGUGGGGAGCAAACAGGAUUAGAUACCCCAGUAGUCCCUGUCUCUUAUAC
rnacentral:rRNA from 1 species